UACGUAGGGUGCGAGCGUUGUCCGGAAUUACUGGGCGUAAAGAGCUCGUAGGCGGUAGUUCAAGUCAGGUGUGAAAUCCGACGGCUUAACCGGAGGACUGCACCUGAUACUGGGCUGCUAGAGGUAAGGAGAGGAAGGUGGAAUUCCCGGUGUAGGAGUGAAAUCCGUAGAUAUCAGGAGGAACACCGGUGGCGAAGGCGGCCGCCUGGACAGGUAUCGACGCUGAGGCGCGAAAGUGUGGGGAGCAAACAGG
rnacentral:rRNA from 1 species